rnacentral:tRNA from 2 species
GGCGGAUGUAGCCAAGGGGAUUAAGGCAGG